UUUAAUAGGGCGACUAGUCGCUAGGAGUAGACCCGAAACCGGCGCGAUCUAUCCAUGGCCAGGUUGAAGAUUAGGUAGUACUAAUUGGAGGACCGAACCCAAUACUGUUGCAAAAGUAUGGGAUGAGCUGUGGAUCGGAGUGAAAGGCUAAUCAAGCACGGAGAUAGCUGGUUCUCCCCGAAAACUAUUUAGGUAGUGCCUCGUGUAUAACUCAUUGGGGUAAAGCACUGUUUCGACAAUGGGGGUUUUACGACCUUACUGACUCGAUGCAAACUCAGAAUACGAUGAAGUUCGAUCACGGGAGACACACUGCGGGUGCUAAGGUCCGCAGUGGAAAGGGAAACAGCCCAGACCGCCAACUAAGGUCCCAAAGUCAUAGCUAAGUGGGAAACGAAGUGGGAAGGCCCAGACAGCCAGGAGGUUGGCUUAGAAGCAGCCACCCUUUAAAGAAAGCGUAAUAGCUCACUGGUCGAGUCGGCCUGCACGUAAGAUUUAACGGGGCUAAGCUAUGCACUGAAGUUGCGGAAUAUAUUUAGUAUAUUGGUAGGGGAGCGUUCUGUAAGCCGAUGAAGGUGAAUUGAGAAGUUUGCUGGAGGUAUCAGAAGUGCGAAUGCUGACAUGAGUAACGUAAAAUAAGUGAGAUUCUUAUUGGCCGAAAACCCAAGGGUUCCUACGCAAUGUUAAUCAACGUAGGGUAAGCCGGCCCCUAAGGCGUAGCUGAAGAGUGAAGUCGAUGGGAAACAGGUUAAUAUUCCUGUGCUGCUUAUAUGAACGAAGGAGGGACGGAGAAGGUUAGGUAGGCCUGGCGAAUGGUUGUCCAGGUGAAAGUAUGUAGGUAGGAAUGCUAGGCAAAUCCGGUGUUCUGUUGAUCUGAGAUACGAGACGAAGUUAAACUUGUUUGACGAAGCUAUUGAUACCAUGCUUCCAGGAAAAGCUUCUAAGUAUAUUGUAUAAGUGACCGUACUGUAAACCGACACUGGUGGGUAGGUAGAGAAUACUAAGGCUAUGAGAUAACUCUGGUGAAGGAACUAGGCAAAAUGACACCGUAACUUUGGAAGAAGGUGUGCCCUUGAUGGUGAUGAGACUUGCUCUUUGAGCUGUUGGGGGUUGCAGAUACCAGGUGGCUGCGACUGUUUAUCAAAAACACAGCACUCUGCGAAAUCGUAAGAUGAAGUAUAGGGUGUGACGCCUGCCCGGUGCUGGAAGGUUAAUUGAAGGGGUUAGCGCAAGCGAAGCUCUGGAUCGAAGCCCCAGUAAACGGCGGCCGUAACUAUAACGGUCCUAAGGUAGCGAAAUUCCUUGUCGGGUAAGUUCCGACCUGCACGAAUGGCGUAACGAUGGCCACACUGUCUCCACCAGAGACUCAGUGAAAUUGAAAUCGCUGUGAAGAUGCAGUGUACCCGCGGUUAGACGGAAAGACCCCGUGAACCUUUACUAUAGCUUUGCACUGGACUUUGAAUAUUUAUGUGUAGGAUAGGUGGGAGACCAUGAAGCAGCUACGCCAGUAGUUGUGGAGUCGUCCUUGAAAUACCACCCUUGAAUAUUUGAAGUUCUAACUCAGGAGAGAUUCGAGGACAGUGUAUGGUGGGUAGUUUGACUGGGGCGGUCUCCUCCUAAAGAGUAACGGAGGAGUACGAAGGUGCACUCGGUACGGUCGGAAAUCGUGCCAAGAGUAUAAAGGCAAAAGUGCGCUUGACUGCGAGAGUGACGGCUCGAGCAGGUACGAAAGUAGGUCUUAGUGAUCCGGUGGUCCCGAAUGGAAGGGUCAUCGCUCAACGGAUAAAAGGUACUCCGGGGAUAACAGGCUAAUUCCUCCCAAGAGUUCAUAUCGACGGAGGAGUUUGGCACCUCGAUGUCGGCU
rnacentral:rRNA from 1 species